UGAUGAAGAUGGGGGAAAUUUCUGAGCAUACUCUAAAAUCUCUCCCAAGCUUGGUAGAGAUUCUCUCUUUCUUUCUGUCUAAAACUCAGAAUCUUACUUCUCAAAUA
rfam:Capsicum annuum cultivar Zunla-1 unplaced genomic scaffold scaffold296, whole genome shotgun sequence